AGUGGCGGACGGGUGAGUAACGCGUGAGAAUCUGCCUUGGGGUCGGGGACAACCACUGGAAACGGUGGCUAAUACCGGAUAAGCCGAUUGGUGAAAGAUUUAUUGCCCGAAGAGGAGCUCGCGUCUGAUUAGCUAGUUGGUGAGGUAAGAGCUCACCAAGGCAGCGAUCAGUAGCUGGUCUGAGAGGACGAUCAGCCACACUGGGACUGAGACACGGCCCAGACUCCUACGGGAGGCAGCAGUGGGGAAUUUUCCGCAAUGGGCGAAAGCCUGACGGAGCAAGACCGCGUGAGGGAGGAAGGCUCUUGGGUUGUAAACCUCUUUUCUCAGGGAAGAAGCUCUGACGGUACCUGAGGAAUCAGCCUCGGCUAACUCCGUGCCAGCAGCCGCGGUAAUACGGAGGAGGCAAGCGUUAUCCGGAAUUAUUGGGCGUAAAGCGUCCGCAGGUGGCGAUUCAAGUCUGCUGUCAAAGCACGGGGCUUAACUCCGUAAAGGCAGUGGAAACUGAAUAGCUAGAGUGCCGUAGGAGUAGAGGGAAUUCCCGGUGUAGCGGUGAAAUGCGUAGAGAUCGGGAAGAACAUCGGUGGCGAAAGCGCUCUACUGGACGGCAACUGACACUCAGGGACGAAAGCUAGGGUAGCGAAUGGGAUUAGAUACCCC
rnacentral:rRNA from 1 species